CAGGAAAAAAAAGGGGGGUCCCCGGCUGGGAUAGUCUUCGAUUGGUUCUGCCGUGGUAGGGUGUGCGUGAGGUGGAAGAAGGGCUGUUCCUCCACGGCACGGUGGAGGAGUUCUGAAGUCCUAAAGUUGGGGCAGGACCUGCAGCAUGGUCGGAGAAGGGGCAAGAGGCCCGGCGGGAAGAAGCAGCAAGAGUAAGACAAGUCGUGGAAUUAAGGGAAGAAGCAGAAAAGUUCUAGAAGAGGACUGGAGAAGUAGAAGGACUACAGACCCCAUGAUGCACAUGGAAAUGGGCGUAAAUCUGCACGACUUGUUCCGGGGCAUGCGCAUGUGUAAGCGCACAAUAAUCUCUUAAGAAUUAAAGAAACCUUGUAACAAAGAAAAGUAGUGAAGAAAAGCCUUAAGGAAAAGAGAAGGAAUGUGUGUAGUCCCUCUGCUUAAGGAAAAGAUAGAGGGUGGGAAGAUCUUCCUUCAACAAUUUAGAUCAACAUUUGUUAGGUAUAUGUGGUUUGCCAGGAAACUGCAUGUGUGUUGUGGACCAUAUGUGUUGAAGAUGCAGUGAUCAAAAAGACUUAGUCCCAGCUAUUAAGGAGAUCACAGUUUGGCAGCAAAUUAUUAUAGAAUGUGAUGGCUGUUCUAACAGACAUAUAAAGGAAGUGCUAUGGAUGGAAGCACAGAGGAAGAAGAGGUUAAUAGUGUCUAAGAACCUAGAAGGGAUGAAGAUGAAAAUUGAGAUUUGAAAGGUGAGAAAGUCAUUAAGACAAGGAUGACUUAAAGGUAUUCCAAACUCCUAAGAAAUACAGGGAGUUUUGGUGGAUGCAGAAUGAUUGAGGAAGGCUGUGAAAGUCUUCUCUUAACAAAAAUCUCUUUCUGUAAUGGUUGCUUGUUUAUGGGAUGAGAAACUAGGGGGUCAUUUGCUUGCUUAAAGCCUCUGGCUUCUCCUGAUGCAACUUCCAGGCCAGUCUACCUUCUCUUCUCAAAUCCCCCAGCUUUUGCUUCAAGUUUACUUCCAGCCUGGCAAGGAGUGAGUCUUCUGAGCACAACCACCCAGUGUCCAAGCAGGGCGGGAACACCUCCUUCCUCAUCUCUCCCACACAUACUCCUUCCAUACCCACCAAGAAGAAAGGCAGCCAGGAAGAGUGGACAGGUCCAGAACCACAGAGGGUGAUGAACAGAUGCAGAAGUAUCAAUCCUGAGGCUAAAGAGUAAUUGGGCAAAGUUUUGGUGAGACACUCCCAUUGCCACUGAUGAUAAGGAAUGUUUUCUCUUGAAAGGCUUAAAAUUGGUGGAAAGCGGUGGCUCACGUCCGUAAUCCAAGCACUUUGGGAGGCUGGGGCAGGUGGAUGGACUGAGCUCAAGAGUUCAAGAUCAGCCUGGGCAACAUGGUGAAACCCUGUUUCUACAAAAAAUUUAAAAAUAUUAGCCAGGUGUGGUGGCACGUGCUCCCAGCCUGGGCAACACCUCCCAGUACUUGGGAGGCUGAGGAGGGAGGAUAUCGUGAGCCGUGGAGGUGGUUGCAGUGAGCCGAGAC
rnacentral:lncRNA from 1 species